rnacentral:rRNA from 1 species
UGAGGAAUAUUGGUCAAUGGGGGCAACCCUGAACCAGCCAAGUCGCGUGAAGGAUGAAGGUCUUAUGGAUUGUAAACUUCUUUUAUACAGGAAUAAAUUGGGGGACGUGUCCCCUUUUGCAUGUACUGUAUGAAUAAGGAUCGGCUAACUCCGUGCCAGCAGCCGCGGUAAUACGGAGGAUCCGAGCGUUAUCCGGAUUUAUUGGGUUUAAAGGGUGCGCAGGCGGGAUGUUAAGUCGGCGGUGAAAUUUUGCAGCUCAACUGUAAAAGUGCCUUCGAUACUGGCCUCCUUGAGUGUGGAUGAAGUAGGCGCAAUUUGUGGUGUAGCGGUGAAAUGCUUAGAUAUCACGAGGAACUCCGAUUGCGCAGGCAGCUUACUAAGCCACAACUGACGCUCAUGCACGAAGGCGUGGGGAUCAAACA